UACGUAGGGGGCAAGCGUUGUCCGGAUUUAUUGGGCGUAAAGAGCUCGUAGGCGGUUCAGUAAGUCGGGUGUGAAAAAUCUGGGCUCAACCCAGUGGAGCACCCGAUACUGCUGUGACUAGAGUCCGGUAGGGGAGUGUGGAAUUCCUGGUGUAGCGGUGAAAUGCGCAGAUAUCAGGAGGAACACCGACAGCGAAGGCAGCACUCUGGGCCGGUACUGACGCUGAGGAGCGAAAGCAUGGGGAGCAAAC
rnacentral:rRNA from 1 species